GCGUGGGUGAAGAAGGUCUUCGGAUUGUAAAGCCCUUUCGACGGGGACGAUGAUGACGGUACCCGUAGAAGAAGCCCCGGCUAACUUCGUGCCAGCAGCCGCGGUAAUACGAAGGGGGCUAGCGUUGCUCGGAUUGACUGGGCGUAAAGGGCGCGUAGGCGGUUCGUACAGUCAGACGUGAAAUUCCUGGGCUCAACCUGGGGGCUGCGUUUGAUACGUGCGGACUUGAGUGCGGAAGAGGGUCGUGGAAUUCCCAGUGUAGAGGUGAAAUUCGU
rnacentral:rRNA from 1 species